rnacentral:rRNA from 1 species
UUAGCAUAUCAAUAGCGGAGGAAAAGAAACCAACAGGGAUUGCCCUAGUAACGGCGAGUGAAGCGGCAACAGCUCAAAUUUGAAAUCUGGCCUCGGCCCGAGUUGUAAUUUGUAGAGGAAGCUUUUGGCGCGGCACCUUCUGAGUCCCCUGGAACGGGGCGCCAUAGAGGGUGAGAGCCCCGUAUAGUCGGAUGCCCAGCCUUUGUAAAGCUCCUUCGACGAGUCGAGUAGUUUGGGAAUGCUGCUCAAAAUGGGAGGUAAAUUUCUUCUAAAGCUAAAUACCGGCCAGAGACCGAUAGCGCACAAGUAGAGUGAUCGAAAGAUGAAAAGCACUUUGAAAAGAGGGUUAAACAGCACGUGAAAUUGUUGAAAGGGAAGCGCUUGUGACCAGACUUGCGCCGGGCUGAUCAUCCGGUGUUCUCACCGGUGCACUCUGCCCGGCUCAGGCCAGCAUCGGUUCUCGCGGGGGGACAAAGGUCCUGGGAACGUAGCUCCUCCGGGAGUGUUAUAGCCCAGGGCGCAAUGCCCCCGCGGGGACCGAGGUUCGCGCUCUGCAAGGAUGCUGGCGUAAUGGUCACCAGCGACCCGUCUUGAAACACGGACCAAGGAGUCAAGGUUUUGCGCGAGUGUUUGGGUGUAAAACCCGCACGCGUAAUGAAAGUGAACGUGGGUGAGAGCUUCGGCGCAUCAUCGACCGAUCCUGAUGUAUUCGGAUGGAUUUGAGUAGGAGCGUUAAGCCUUGGACCCGAAAGAUGGUGAACUAUGCUUGGAUAGGGUGAAGCCAGAGGAAACUCUGGUGGAGGCUCGCAGCGGUUCUCACGUGCAACCCCCUCGUCAAAUCUCCCCACGGGGGCGAAAGACUAAUCGAACCAUCUAGUAGCUGGUUA